rnacentral:rRNA from 1 species
AGUCGAGCGGUACAGGCCUUCGGGUGCUGACGAGCGGCGGACGGGUGAGUAAUGCUUGGGAACUUGCCUUUCGGAGGGGGAUAACCAUUGGAAACGAUGGCUAAUACCGCAUAACGUCUACGGACCAAAGUGGGGGAUCUUCGGACCUCACACCGAGAGAUAGGCCCAAGUGAGAUUAGCUAGUUGGUGGGGUAAAGGCUCACCAAGGCGACGAUCUCUAGCUGUUCUGAGAGGAUGAUCAGCCACACUGGGACUGAGACACGGCCCAGACUCCUACGGGAGGCAGCAGUGGGGAAUAUUGCACAAUGGGGGAAACCCUGAUGCAGCCAUGCCGCGUGUGUGAAGAAGGCCUUCGGGUUGUAAAGCACUUUCAGUGGUGAGGAAGGCUAUCGUGUUAAUAGCACGGUAGAUUGACGUUAGCCACAGAAGAAGCACCGGCUAACUCCGUGCCAGCAGCCGCGGUAAUACGGAGGGUGCGAGCGUUAAUCGGAAUUACUGGGCGUAAAGCGUACGUAGGCGGCUCAUUAAGCAAGAUGUGAAAGCCCCGGGCUCAACCUGGGAAUGGCAUUUUGAACUGGUGAGCUCGAGUUUUGAAGAGGGUGGUAGAAUUUCCAGUGUAGCGGUGAAAUGCGUAGAUAUUGGAAGGAAUACCAGUGGCGAAGGCGGCCACCUGGUCAAGAACUGACGCUGAGGUACGAAAGCGUGGGGAGCAAACAGGAUUAGAUACCCUGGUAGUCCACGCCGUAAACGAUGUCAACUAGUUGUUCGUUUCAUAAACGAAGUGAGUAACGCAGCUAACGCACUAAGUUGACCGCCUGGGGAGUACGGCCG